rnacentral:rRNA from 1 species
UACGGGGGGGGCAAGCGUUGUUCGGAAUUCCUGGGCGUAAAGGGUUCGUAGGUGGCUCGCUAAGCCAGACGCGAAAUCCCUCAGCUUAACUGGGGAACUGCGUCUGGGACUGGAGAGCUCGAGUGCAGGAGAGGAAUGCGGAAUUCCAGGUGUAGCGGUGAAAUGCGUAGAUAUCUGGAGGAACACCGGUGGCGAAGGCGGCAUUCUGGACUGCAGCUGACACUGAGGAACGAAAGCCAGGGGAGCAAACGGG